rnacentral:rRNA from 1 species
AUUGAACGCUGGCGGCAGGCCUAACACAUGCAAGUCGAGCGGUAGCACAGAGAGCUUGCUCUCGGGUGACGAGCGGCGGACGGGUGAGUAAUGUCUGGGAAACUGCCCGAUGGAGGGGGAUAACUACUGGAAACGGUAGCUAAUACCGCAUAACGUCGCAAGACCAAAGAGGGGGACCUUCGGGCCGCUUGCCAUCGGAUGUGCCCAGAUGGGAUUAGCUAGUAGGUGGGGUAACGGCUCACCUAGGCGACGAUCCCUAGCUGGUCUGAGAGGAUUCCCAGCCACACUGGAACUGAGACACGGUCCAGACUCCUACGGGAGGCAGCAGUGGGGAAUAUUGCACAAUGGGCGCAAGCCUGAUGCAGCCAUGCCGCGUGUAUGAAGAAGGCCUUCGGGUUGUAAAGUACUUUCAGCGGGGAGGAAGGCGAUAAGGUUAAUAACCUUGUCGAUUGACGUUACCCGCAGAAGAAGCACCGGCUAACUCCGUGCCAGCAGCCGCAGUAA